rnacentral:rRNA from 1 species
GAUGAACGCUGGCAGAAUGCUUAACACAUCAGCGAUUGAUUGGUGGCGGACGGGUGAGUAAGGCGUAACGAACUUGCCUCACAGGUGGGGACGAUAUCUGGAAACGAAUGCUAAUACUAAAUACUGUGAGAGAGUUGUGCGUCCCAUUAGCUAGUUGGUGAGGUAACGGCUCACCAAGGCGACGAUGGGUAGCCGGCCUGAGAGGGUGAUCGGCCACAAGGGGACUCGGACAGGACCCUUAGUGAUAAGGGAAGCAGGAGUGGGGAAUAUUGGAAGAUGGACCAAAGUCUGAACCAGCAAUUCUGUGUGCACAGUAAAGCAGUCGGAAUGUAAAGUGCUUGGAGUUGAGAAGCGGUACCAACAGAAGAAGUAACGGCUAAAUCCGUGCCAGCCGCCGCGGUAAUAC